rnacentral:sRNA from 1 species
GAGAGCGUCAGCGAGAGAGCGUCAGCGAGAGAGCGUCAGCGAGAGAGCGUCAGCGAGAGAGCGUUGCCGCAGGCAACGACCCGAAGGGCGAAGCGCGCAGCGCUGAGUAAUCCUUCCCCCACCACCA